GGACGCCGGGGGUUAAAUCCCCCUCAAUGCU
rnacentral:tRNA from 1 species